CCUACGGGGGGCAGCAGUAGGGAAUAUUGCUCAAUGGGGGAAACCCUGAAGCAGCCACGCCGCGUGGAGGAUGAAGGUUUUCGGAUUUUAAACUCCUUUUUUUAGAGAAAAUAAUGACGUUAUCUAAAGAAUAAGCACCGGCUAACUUCGUGCCAGCAGCCGCGGUAAUACGGAGGGUGCAAGCGUUACUCGGAAUCACUGGGCGUAAAGAGCGAGUAGGCGGGAUAGCAAGUCUGAUGUGAAAUCCUAGGGCUGAACCAUAGAACUGCACUUGAAACUGUUAUUCUGGAGUAUGGGAGAGGUAGGUGGAAUUCUUGGUGUAGCGGUAAAAUCCGUAGAGAUCACGAGGAAUACUCAUUGCGAAGGCGACCUGCUAGAACGUAACUGACGCUGAUGCUCGAAAGCGUGGGGAGCAAACAGGAUUAGAUACCCCAGUAGUC
rnacentral:rRNA from 1 species